CUACCUAGUAGUAUGGAAUAGCCAUUAGAAAUGAUGGGUAAUACUGUAUAAUCCCUGCGGGGGAAAGAUUUAUCGCUAUUAGAUGAGCCUACGUUAGAUUAGCUAGUUGGUAAGGUAAUGGCUUACCAAGGCUAUGAUCUAUAGCUGGUCUGAGAGGACGAUCAGCCACACUGGAACUGAGAUACGGUCCAGACUCCUACGGGAGGCAGCAGCGGGGAAUAUUGGACAAUGGGCGAAAGCCUGAUCCAGCUAUGCCGCGUGAGUGAAGAAGGCCUUCGGGUUGUAAAGCUCUUUCAAUAGGGAAGAUAAUGACGGUACCUAUA
rnacentral:rRNA from 1 species